rnacentral:rRNA from 1 species
GACGAACGCUGGCGGCGUGCCUAAUACAUGCAAGUCGAGCGAGCGGCGGACGGGUGAGUAAUGCCUAGGAAUCUGCCUGGUAGUGGGGGAUAACUACUGGAAACGGUAGCUAAUACCGCAUACCAUCAGAUGUGCCCAGAUGGGAUUCGCUAGUAGGUGGGGUAACGGCCCACCUAGGCGACGAUCCCUAGCUGGUCUGAGAGGAUGACCAGCCACACUGGAACUGAGACACGGUCCAGACUCCUACGUGAGGCAGCAGUGGGGAAUAUUGCACAAUGGGCGCAAGCCUGAUGCAGCCAUGCCGCGUGUGUGAAGAAGGCUUUCGGGUUGUAAAGCACUUUCAGCGGGGAGGCGUUACCCGCAGAAGAAGCACCGGCUAACUCCGUGCCAGCAGCCGCGGUAAUUC